ACCGUAUCAUUUGUUUCUUAAGUGGUUUUCUUCUUCUUCUUCUUCUUCAAAUUUAUCUCCAUUCAUUGAAAGUUUUUUGCAUAUGAACUUAUUCCAUUGAUUACUUUAUCAAGCAGUUGUACAUUGUAAUAUAACAUUGUAGAAGUAGCUUUAGAAAUUUGAAACUUUUUUUUUUAAUUUAAAAUUUUAAAGGUAGAAAUUUGAAACUUGAUAUCAGUGAAUGGGGGACCCAGAUCCAGAGUUGUCUGGAAGCUUGGUUGAGUACUCAGCUGAUUCACUCAAACAUUUUUUGUUUUUUGAAAUAAUACUUUAUUUCACUUGGGGUUGUGGAUUAGGUGAGUACCUAACUAUGGAGCCCACCUUGAUGUAUGUGUUGUACAUCCACUCUGUCCAUCAGUUUUUUAGCUCAUUUUAAAGCAUGGUCCAGAAAAUGACAUAGAUCUAAAUCUCCAAAUGGGCCUUGCCUAAGAUCUUUAAAUUGGAAGGUCCUAGCUGUUUAAUCUUUAUCCUAUUUUCAUUUUCGCCUGGAGUUGUAUUGAGUUAAUGCAAAUAUCCCUCGUGGUGAUAUUUGCCAGCUACUUCUCGUUGUGAAUGCUAAGGUUUCAUCAUUAUUUUUUGUCACUUCCUCUUGGCUAAACUGAAUUCUUUAGGACUGAAACUACAAAAUCUGUGGGUACUGUUGCUAAGAUGCAGUUAAAGAUCUGUGGAGGAUGCUGAUGUUGUCUAUGCAUGCUGAGAAAGAAACACGAUUGGAAAAUGCUUGUUGUUUUAAUACAUGCAGUAUUUUUGGAUGCAAGUUGUUUUAUAUGCUUGUUACCUUCUUUGUCAUCAGAGUGGAAAAUGCACCCUUCCUAGCCAUUUGUCUGUUGGAGCAAGUGAUUUGAUCACCUAAUGACAAUUCCUGAGAUUCGUCAACAUCCACAGUUCCAACAUCAUCUUCCUGGCUACUUAGCCAUUCCUGCAAUAGAUGUGUUGCAAAGAGUGAAACGGGUACUACACUUUCUUACCACUUGAUGGAAAUUUUAGUUGGAAAAUAUCUUUAAAUAAAGUUGCCUUUUUCAAAUUAUAAGUCAUAAAUUAUUUUUUGCAAGCAAUGAAUUUUUUUUAAAUAAAAUUUUAUUUUCUCUUGAUUCAAAUGCAUAUAUAACCACUGUAUAGAGCACUGAAAAACAUUCAAUGUGUAGUGCCUAAAAGCUUGUUCUUGGUUGGAAAUGUAAAGAGCUGAAAUAUUUUCCAACAAGUUGUAACUUCAUCUUUUAGCCUUCUCUCCAUUAUUCUUCUUUUCGUUACAAUUUUCAAUCUAAAGCAUGGUACUGUCCUAGGUAAUUGGAAAAUGUAGGUUCAAAAUCAUCAAAAUCUAAAGUACAAUGGAACAAUACAAGGCUUGAAGUAUAUAUGGAGAACUGAAGGUUUUCGUGGCCUAUUUAAUGGCAAUGGUACCAAUUGUGCACGGCAUAGUGCCAAACUCGGUAGUCAAGUUUUUUUAUAGCUAUGAGCAAUCAUUUAGGCUAUCUUGCGAGCCAAAGCCGGGUCUAUCUUAUUGACAAAGAAUUCAAUGUUGUAGGAUACACCUUACUUCUCAGCUUGAUUGAGUAUAGAACUCUUGAGAUGCGUGGAGAUCUAGACCGGGCAAAUGAAAUCUUGCUCUCAAUUCCGAAUGACCAUCAUGACAAGUUCUUUCCAUAUUUCACCAUUUACAGAAAAGCAUUUUAGCAUUUGGCAAUGUUGGCGUCUUGGCGAAUGUUUUCCAACCCAACGUAUUCAUGUAGUUAUUUAUGGAAGGUGGAAUUUUAGUGUUAGAUGAUGAAAAUAACAGUUUUUUCUUUUAAAGAUGUGAAAAAGUAAAGGUAGCUUAAAUCAGAAGAGCUUUUCUUUGACUCUUUUUUUUCUUUUGAAAGUGUAAAAUCAGAAGAGCUUUUCUUUGAGACGCCUGUUCUUUUGAAACCCAGUACAAAAUGUCGGGGGCAUAUAUUAACCACAGUAUCAAAAUUGGUGGUGAUUGGCCCUCUUAUGAAAUUUUAAGCUGUUAUAGGACAUAAUUUAUCUGAAAUUGGAACCAGUUUAUUAGUGUAAGUUGCAGUCCAGUCUACAUAUACUACAAGUCCUGAUUUUUUUUAUUUUUUAUUUUGACAGGCUACUACAACUCCAGAAUUUCUAGUCUCUGUUGACAUAUUAUUAGAUCAACAUUUUUGGAAACUUCUGACCUAUCUCUCUCAUCACCUUGUUGCCAUGUUAUGAUUUUCCUAUUCUUGUCGCAUGUCAUUAGAAUCUGAAAUUUUAGAUUUAGUAUUGGCAACAUAGAGUUCUGUUGUUGCCCAUUCUUAUUCUGCUUGAUCUACUUGAUGUCGAAACUGUAAAGGUCUGACAGUAAACAACCUUUUUAAGUUUCCAACCUCUUCUCCCUUAUGGUUGUAAAUUGUAAUAUAUAUGAGAAUUUUCUUGAUAUAGUCAUUUUCAUGCAAUAAAAUGUUAUGAAGACAAUGUAUAUAUGCAUCUUUUGAGAUAUUUUUCUUUGUUAAUGUGUUUUCAAUUAUGAUCAAUGAUUUGGGUUAUGUAUUUUCCUAAUAGUUUCUCGGCUGCUAUAUCCUAAACCUAAGAUUCUUCCUAUUUAUGUGUGUUAUGUUGAACUUGUCUUGAAUUCUGAUAGUCUUGAAAACUGUAUUUUACUUGCCAUAGUGUGGCUCAUUUCUUGGAAUCUUAAGGUAUGUUAGAGGAUGCACUUGAAGUUGCUACCGAUCCUAAUUACAGAUUUGAUAUAGUUGUCCAGCUUGGGAGAUUAGAGGUUGCAAAGGCAAUUGCUGUUGAAGUAACAAGUGAAUCCAAAUGGAAGCAAUUAGGAGAAUUGGCUAUGUCUACUGGAAAGGUACUUAUUUAACUUGAAUAGUCAUGGUGUUUCAUGGGAGGUGAUUAAUGGGCAUAGGGUGUGUUCUAGAAUUUUGAACAUUUAAAAGUUUUGUUUUCAAGCUUGUAGAGCCUCAUAAUAAAAUUCUGGUUUUCUGGGAUCUAGAAAAGCUAAGUACUUGUUUGUGUUGAUCAGAAUAAGUGCCAGAUAAAGUAAAUCUAGAUGGAUUAAUCAUACUGGCUAAAGUAAUCUUAGAUGGAUUAAUCAUACUCUUGGUGAGGAUGACUUAUUGAAAUGAGUAAUAUGACAGUUGCCACGCAUGCCAUUGUCAAAGUGGCAUUUAUCUGAAUUCCUGACAACUCAUUGGGUUAGCUUGAAACAUUUUAUCUGAUGGAAAUGAGAAGCACAGAGAAUUAAGCAAGGUUUUCAUGA